rnacentral:rRNA from 1 species
GGGCCCGCACAAGCAGUGGAGUAUGUGGUUUAAUUCGAUGCAACGCGAAGAACCUUACCAGGUCUUGACAUCCGACUAACGGAGCAGAAAUGCACCGGUGCCCGCAAGGGAAAGUCGAGACAGGUGGUGCAUGGUUGUCGUCAGCUCGUGUCGUGAGAUGUUGGGUUAAGUCCCGCAACGAGCGCAACCCUUGUCAUUAGUUGCUACGGACAGAGCACUCUAAUGAGACUGCCGUUGACAAAACGGAGGAAGGUGGGGAUGACGUCAAAUCAUCAUGCCCCUUAUGAUCUGGGCUACACACGUACUACAAUGGCCGUUACAGAGGGCAGCGAAGCCGCGAGGCGGAGCAAAUCCCGAAAGGCGGUCCCAGUUCAGAUUGCAGGCUGCAACUCGCCUGCAUGAAGGCGGAAUUGCUAGUAAUCGCGAAUCAGCAUGUCGCGGUGAAUACGUUCCCGGGCCUU